rnacentral:rRNA from 1 species
GACGAACGCUGGCGGCGUGCCUAAUACAUGCAAGUCGAGCGUGAACCACAGGAGGGGUAACCCUCCUGCGGGGAAAGCGGCGAACGGGUGAGUAACACGUGGGCAACCUGCCCUCGACACUGGGAUAACCCCGGGAAACCGGGGCUAAUACCGGAUACCCUCGGACGGUCGCAUGGCCGACCGAGGAAAGCCCCGACGGUCGAGGAUGGGCCCGCGGCCUAUCAGCUUGUUGGCGGGGUAACGGCCCACCAAGGCGACGACGGGUAGCUGGCGUGAGAGCGUGGCCAGCCACACUGGGACUGAGACACGGCCCAGACUCCUACGGGAGGCAGCAGUAGGGAAUCUUGCGCAAUGGGCGAAAGCCUGACGCAGCGACGCCGCGUGCGGGAUGAAGGCCCUCGGGUUGUAAACCGCUUUCGGCAGGGACGAAGCCUCACGGUGACGGUACCUGCAGAAGAAGCCCCGGCUAACUACGUGCCAGCCGCCGCAGUAAAAC